UUUAAAUUGAGAGUUUGAUCCUGGCUCAGGAUGAACGCUGGCGGCGUGCUUAACACAUGCAAGUCGAGCGAUGAAGUUUCCUUCGGGAAACGGAUUAGCGGCGGACGGGUGAGUAACACGUGGGUAACCUGCCUCGUAGAGUGGAAUAGCCUUCCGAAAGGAAGAUUAAUACCGCAUAAUGUUGAAAGAUGGCAUCAUCAUUUAACCAAAGGAGCAAUCCGCUAUGAGAUGGACCCGCGGCGCAUUAGCUAGUUGGUGGGGUAACGGCCUACCAAGGCGACGAUGCGUAGCCGACCUGAGAG
rnacentral:rRNA from 1 species